rnacentral:rRNA from 1 species
GGGCGUAAAGAGCUCGUAGGCGGUUUGUCGCGUCUGCCGUGAAAGUCCGAGGCUCAACCUCGGAUCUGCGGUGGGUACGGGCAGACUAGAGUGAUGUAGGGGAGACUGGAAUUCCUGGUGUAGCGGUGAAAUGCGCAGAUAUCAGGAGGAACACCGAUGGCGAAGGCAGGUCUCUGGGCAUCUACUGACGCUGAGGAGCGAAAGCAUGGGGAGCGAACAGGAUUAGAUACCCUGGUAGUCCAUGCCGUAAACGUUGGGCACUAGGUGUGGGGAACAUUCCACGUUUUCCGCGCCGUAGCUAACGCAUUAAGUGCCCCGCCUGGGGAGUACGGCCGCAAGGCUAAAACUCAAAGGAAUUGACGGGGGCCCGCACAAGCGGUAAUCGAA